rfam:Stegodyphus mimosarum contig73862, whole genome shotgun sequence.
GCCUUCGUGGUGUAGUGAUCAGCACUCUCGACGCGCAACCGAGAAGUUCAUGGUUCAAUUCCCGCCGAAGGCG